CCUACGGGUGGCAGCAGUGGGGAAUAUUGGACAAUGGGCGAAAGCCUGAUCCAGCCAUGCCGCGUGUGUGAAGAAGGCCUUCGGGUUGUAAAGCACUUUCAGUGGGGAAGAAAGCCUUGGGGCUAAUACCCUCGAGGAAGGACAUCACCCACAGAAGAAGCACCGGCUAACUCCGUGCCAGCAGCCGCGGUAAUACGGAGGGUGCGAGCGUUAAUCGGAAUUACUGGGCGUAAAGCGCGCGUAGGCGGUCUGAUAAGCCGGUUGUGAAAGCCCCGGGCUCAACCUGGGAACGGCAUCCGGAACUGUCAGGCUAGAGUGCAGGAGAGGAAGGUAGAAUUCCCGGUGUAGCGGUGAAAUGCGUAGAGAUCGGGAGGAAUACCAGUGGCGAAGGCGGCCUUCUGGACUGACACUGACGCUGAGGUGCGAAAGCGUGGGUAGCAAACAGGAUUAGAUACCCUUAUAGUC
rnacentral:rRNA from 1 species